rnacentral:tRNA from 1 species
GCGGGUAUAACUUAAUGGUCAGAGUGUCAAAUUGUGAAUUUGAAAACACGGGUUCGAAUCCCGUUACUCGCC